rnacentral:rRNA from 1 species
AUUGAACGCUGGCGGCAGGCUUAACACAUGCAAGUCGAACGAGUGGCGGACGGGAGAGCAAUGCUUGGGAAUCUGGCUUAUGGAGGGGGACAACGACGGGAAACUGUCGCUAAUUCCGAGUACCAUAGGCUGAGCCCAAGUGGGAGUAGGUAGUUGGGUGGGUAAUGGCCUAACAGGCUGACGAACUCUAGCUGGUCUGAGAGGAUGACCAGCAACACCGGGACUGAGAGACGGCCCGGACUCCGACGGGAGGCAGCAGUGGGGAAUAUUGGACAAUGGGCGCAAGCCUGCUCCAGCCAUGCCGCGUGUCUGAAGAAGGCCUUCGGGUUGUAAAGGACUUUUGGUAGGGAAGCGGUACCUAUAGAAUAAGCACCGGCUAACUACGUGCCAGCAGCCGCGGUAAUAC